rnacentral:rRNA from 1 species
GAUAAGACAUGCAAGUCGAGUGAGAUUUUUUCUUGUAGCAACAGAAGGGAACAGUCUAGCGGCGAACGGGUGCUUAACACGUGGGCAACCUGCCAAGAAGUGGGGGAUAGCUCGCCGAACGGCGAAUUAAUACCGCAUGUGAUCAGAGUGGACAUCCACUCAAACGGGAACGUCGGGGCAACCUGACGCUUCUUGAGGGGCCAGCGGCCUAUCAGCUAGUUGGUGAGGUAACGGCCAACCAAGGCUUUCAGGAUUAGCUGGUCUGAGAGGACGACCAGGGACCCUGGGACUGAGACACGGCCAAGACACCUACGGGUGGCAGCAGUCGAGAAUUUUUCUCAAUGGGGGAACCACUGAAGGAGUGACGCCGCGUGGAGGAUGAAGGUCUUCGGAUUGUAACCUCCUGUACGGGGGGGAACAAUGCGGACGCGUUAACUGCGCGUUCGUUGAUAGUACCAGAAGAGGAAGAGACGGCUAACUCUGUGCCAGCAGCCGCGGUAACAGAAGAGGUCUCAAGCGUUGUUCGGAUUACGGGGGGCGUAACGGGUGCGUAGGCGGCGCGGUAAGUCGGGUGUGAACUCUCGGAGUUUAACUCCGAACCUGACGGGCGACAGAUGCCGUGCUUGAGGACUGGAGAGGAGACUGGAAUUUACGGUGUAGCGGUGAACUGCGUAGAUAUCGUAAGGAAGACCAGUGGCGAAGGCGGGUCUCUGGACAGUUCCUGACGCUGAGGCACGAACGGCCAGGGGAGUAACCGGGAUUAGACA